rnacentral:rRNA from 1 species
CGAAAGCCUGACGGAGCAACGCCGCGUGAGGGAGGAAGGCUCUUGGGUUGUAAACCUCUUUUGCUUGGGAAGAAGAUCUGACGGUACCAAGCGAAUCAGCAUCGGCUAACUCCGUGCCAGCAGCCGCGGUAAUACGGAGGAUGCAAGCGUUAUCCGGAAUUAUUGGGCGUAAAGCGUCCGCAGGUGGUCAUUCAAGUCUGCUGUUAAAGACCGAAGCUUAACUUCGGAAAGGCAGUGGAAACUGAAUAACUAGAGGUCAGUAGGGGUAGCAGGAAUUCCCAGUGUAGCGGUGAAAUGCGUAGAGAUUGGGAAGAACAUCGGUGGCGAAAGCGUGCUACUGGGCUGAAUCUGACACUGAGGGACGAAAGCU